rnacentral:rRNA from 1 species
GAUGAACGCUGGCGGCGUGCCUAAUACAUGCAAGUCGAGCGAACGGACGAGAAGCUUGCUUCUCUGAUGUUAGCGGCGGACGGGUGAGUAACACGUGGAUAACCUACCUAUAAGACUGGGAUAACUUCGGGAAACCGGAGCUAAUACCGGAUGAUAUUUUGAACCGCAUGGUUCAAAAGUGAAAGACGGUCUUGCUGUCACUUAUAGAUGGAUCCGCGCUGCAUUAGCUAGUUGGUAAGGUAACGGCUUACCAAGGCAACGAUGCAUAGCCGACCUGAGAGGGUGAUCGGCCCACCUGGAACUGAGACACGGUCCAGACUCCUACGGGAGGCAGCAGUAGGGAAUCUUCCGCAAGGGGCGAAAGCUGGACGGAGCAACGCCGCGUGAUUGAUGAAGGUCUUCGGAUCGUAAAACUCUGUUAUUAGGGAAGAACAUAUGUGUAAGUAACGGUGCACAUCUUGACGGUACCUAAUCAGAAAGCCACGGCUAACUACUU